CCCCUCCCUGACUCUAAAAUCUCUCUGUACAUUCCCCAGCCGUCGGUGAAUGUGUCUAUGAACUGGUCCAUGUGAUGUCUGCACAAGUCUCGUAAAACUGAAGCUGUGAUAUUCUUGUUUGAGUCACCCUGUCUCUUCAUGUGCUGCUCAGGUCUGCCAGGAUUUCUGUCCUCCCUCAUGUGUGCUGAGCUGGUGGAAACGUGCCAAGGCCAGGAAUACCAGCUUGACCAUCUGGAUCUUGCAGCUCGUAUCAAGGAAAGUACAGGGGACCUGGACAUUUCAUAGAUGCAAAACCUCACUUCAUAUGUUUUCUGUGACCUUCAGUAAAGAAUGUCUUCUUAUCAAGGGAACCUGAAAACAUUCUAGACCUAAGCCAAAGUAAAAGAAAACAAAAAAAUGAA